rnacentral:rRNA from 1 species
CGGAGGAUCCAAGCGUUAUCCGGAUUUAUUGGGUUUAAAGGGUGCGUAGGCGGAAUUGUAAGUCAGUGGUGAAAGCCCUUCGCUUAACGAAGGAACUGCCAUUGAUACUGCAAAUCUUGAGUACAUUUGAUGUGGGCGGAAUGUGUCAUGUAGCGGUGAAAUGCUUAGAUAUGACACAGAACACCGAUUGCGAAGGCAGCUCACAAAACUGUAACUGACGCUGAGGCACGAAAGCGUGGGUAUCAAACAGGAUUAGAUACCCUGGUAGUCCACGCUGUAAACUAUGAUUACUCGAUGUUUGCGAUACACUGUAAGCGUCUAAGCGAAAGCGAUAAGUAAUCCACCUGGGGAGUACGCUCGCAAGAGUAG